rnacentral:rRNA from 1 species
CUACGUGCCAGCAGCCGCGGUAAUACGUAGGUGGCAAGCGUUGUCCGGAAUUAUUGGGCGUAAAGCGCGCGCAGGCGGAUUGGUCAGUCUGUCUUAAAAGUUCGGGGCUUAACCCCGUGAUGGGAUGGAAACUGCCAAUCUAGAGUAUCGGAGAGGAAAGUGGAAUUCCUAGUGUAGCGGUGAAAUGCGUAGAUAUUAGGAAGAACACCAGUGGCGAAGGCGACUUUCUGGACGAAAACUGACGCUGAGGCGCGAAAGCCAGGGGAGCGAACGGGAUUAGAUACCCCGGUAGUCCUGGCCGUAAACGAUGGGUACUAGGUGUAGGAGGUAUCGACCCCGUCUGUGCCGGAGUUAACGCAAUAAGUACCCCGCCUGGGGAGUACGACCGCAAGGUUGAAACUCAAAGGAAUUGACGGGGGCCCGCACAAGCGGUGGAGUAUGUGGUUUAAUUCGACGCAACGCGAAGAACCUUACCAGGUCUUGACAU